rnacentral:misc_RNA from 1 species
UCGCACGCGGUCUCCCUUGCAGUUUCCUUCUCGCUCUUUUUCUCUUGCGCGAACCGACUCAUGCUUCACGCAUUCCCCAAAGAGACGUUUGGACACCCAAAGCAGCACCCCUCACUUCGAUUGCCCCUCAAGCGCCUCAUCUUCACGGUACUCUUCGUACGCGAUUCUUUGCUCUUUAUACGUGUGUGGCGGCAUCGGCUGCUGCUUCCUUUGAGAUCAACCGAAGGAAGUGGACACUCACGCACACGCACGCCACUAGUAGUAGUAGUCCAGUUGCUCUCUACUUCGGCGUUUCGUUUUCCUCGACCCUCCUCCGCAGCUUAUAAAGGAGAGUCACCUGAAUAGUCACACUAGCGGUGCGAAAAAAAACGAAGGAGAGACGCAACCGCUCAUACGCAAGCUGCUUCUCCCCUCUUCAUAGUCGGAAACAGAGGCACAGACACGCACGGGCGCAUCUUUCUGAUCUCCAGCCUUCUAUUUUCCAGCCCUCAGCUCUCCCCGUCGCUCAGCAUUCGCCUCGUUUGCGUGUCGAACUGGUGUGUUGCAUGUGCAUUACGUCGGCGUGCUCCUUGUUGUGUGCCGCACGUGCCGACUGCUCCGUUGACGUUUUACAUCUUUGCCUUUUCCGCCCACCCGCUCUUUUUUCUUUUGUAUUCUCUUACCUCUUGCCACCCCGCAUCCGCACAGCCGGUUCGAGUGCCCUACCCGCCCUUCUCUCUCUGUGCCUGCGCAAGCCAGCUUCAAGCGCGGGGUGCACAUGUGAACCGUCGCCGACUCCUCACUUUCUCCCUACCUACCCAACCUUUUGUCUUGUAGCUUAUUUUUGUGACUCCCUGGUGCUACCCCCUCCCUCCUUUUCCUUCCUUCACGUACACAUCUCUUUUUAGUGUAUUGUACUUUUUCUGUACAUUCGUCGUUGCGACGGUUUCGUAGGUGUGGCGCCACCUGUUUCUCCCUCUCUCUCUCACACACACACACACACACAGACACUCUUGCUUGCACUCGCUGCCUCUCUGGGCGUGUCUGCAUGUUGCAGCUGCAAUCGUACGCUACUGUGCGCAUCUUUCUGCGCCUCCUCAACAUCUUUCACUCCUUUCUCUCCCUCCAGCUGUGCAGCAGAGCAUCGUCGCCCUCCCACGCUAGUCUCUAGCUAUUUUUUUUCUCUUUGUAUUCUUUACCUCUCGUGCUGUGACACUCGUCAGGCUGAGGCGUGCACCUGCUUUCCCUUCCGCUUUUUGUACUCAAUGGAGGACUCACCGCCACCACAGCCGCGUGAGGUGCACAUCGACCUCUGCGGCAUCGAAGGAGACGCGCCACAACCACCAGCGCCGCACUUCGAAACGCCGAACGGCACUGCGGCGGAGCCUCCGCGGGAGAAGUCGGAGGAAAGCUGUGAUGCUGUCAAGGCGACACAGCACAGCUCACCCGCCGCUGCGCCUAGCCUGACGGCAAGCCAUAAUGGCGGCAACAGUACCAACGACAGCCCGCAACAAUCCAUCGCCAGGACGCGGCUGUUGACUGCCUGCGGCGACGCAAACGGCGCUCCACCUGGGGACUCUCGUCCCUCGCUCGAGGUGAUAGCGGCUUCCUCUGCGAUCCCAGUGCACGGGCAUGACUCCAUCCGUCCUUCCUACUUGUUGAAAUCACCGCACCACGGCGCGACUAACGGCAACGCGGCCGCAGCAGCCAACGGCGAGCAGGCGACUGCCGAGUGCGACGUGGGCGGCGCCACAAGAAGUCGGUCGGAGAUGGCGCUUCAUCGUUCCGCUUCGCAAGCUCGCCGCCGCCCGGUCUCCACGCCGGUGCUAGCUCGCAGCUCGACCUCCAACUCGCAGUUCCCUUUUAAGACGGCGCUGCCUGUUUCUCCAGAGCCUCCCGAGGAGGCCGGGACGCUGGCAACCAGCACACAAGAGGAUGUGAAGCGCUACGUGCACGCGGUAAUGGAGCAUCACACGGCGAUGCUGGCCGCGUGGGACAAGCGCGUGUAUGUCGCGGAGGUGUAUCGAGACAAGCCGCUGCGAACUGGUGGUCGGCCUGCGCCUGUGCGGCCGCAGGAUCGUGGCUUUCUCGAGCGCGUCGAGCAAAACCUCGACAACUACCUCCGGCAGCUGGAGUUUGCUAAGUCUCUGCUGGCGCAGUCACACGAGGCGGUGCCGCCAACAAAGUCGGGACAGAAAAGCGACGUCAAGGCUUGGCAAGGCUACUGCAGUCGCCUCUACUUUACACUAAGCGACCUCACCGUGGAGGAGAACCUAAUACGCCUUCGGAUGAGCAGGGUACUUCGUGUAGGGCAUCAGGGCUUCAAGGAAUCGAUGUCUUCCCGCACUGCUUCUCCAUGGGGGUCUAGAGCGCGUGGCAUGCGCUCGUACAGUCGUGAGAGCACAAGCGCGCGUGCGAGCUCGAGGCCUGCAUCGCGCGGAUCAUCAAAGCCUGCCACACCGCGACAGAAGCCACGGGCGGCAAGCGUGAGUCGGCGCGGCCGCUCUGCGCAAUCGGCCGGUAGCACGCAUUCAGCAGCUGCGGCGGGUGCAGAGGUCUCGUGCCCGAGCACGCCAAUAGGAACUAACGGUUCUCCUUCCUCGCACUCUCGGCAUGCGGCGCCGAGUAGUGUGGUGCGGCGCGGCAACGGUGUCAUUAGGCCGGGACACAGCAGCGCCCCCAGCCCUGCUCAAGCGAGUGCUGUUUCAGUAGAUCAGCCGCGCCACCCAGGGCGGUAUGACGGCCAUAGCGCUUACCACACGGCUAAGUCGCACGCAGCACUGUCCUCAGCACCCGCGCUCGCCCUGGCGCGACAGCGGCGGUUGCUGCUCGCCCUCCAUCCUGACACGGUGUCGCCGCAGCCGUCGUGCACUGGCAACACGUAUGACAGCCAAACUCCCUACGGUCGCCUUUCACCGCAACGCCGCACCGUAUCUCCCGCCUUCGCGCACAGGUUUGAUCGCUCCGUGGCUCUACUGCCGGAACUCAACGACGAUGACGCAGAGUCGCACAGUGCCGCCCCUUCGUGUAGAUCUCUGGAGCGGUCGUCUGCUCACCGGCCCGCCGGUGCGCCCCCACAGCUUCGCACUUACUCCUCUCCACGGGGAACUAACGUCGCAAGGGCGGCGACUUCCAGCGCACUAGCGCUGCACCCUCUUCGGCACCGGCAGCUGCUCGAGAAGAUUGAGCGCUACGAAAAGAACGCGGCCGUCCUGCAGCCCAGCGACCUGCAGCUUGCGCGGGCGUGCUUCUACGAGCUCUACGGGGAGCCGAUGGGGUUGCAUCAAUACUGUCAGUGGAUCGAUGAUGUCGCCAUCAAGAUCCUGCGUGGGGCGUGACGUGCGCGCGUAUUCCUUAAUCUUAUUGUGACUAGUGCAGAGACGCAAGAAUCACGAUGAACUGCCCUGAAGAGUCACCGCAUGGCGACGAUGUAGCGGCUCUAGCAGCGAUCGUAGAUGACGGGUAGCUGAUCCGCGAAGGUUUCGGUUGAAGCAGUCGAUGUGCAGCGGCGCUACUGCGUUAUCGUAGGCGGUGGAGCACAAGACUGGAAUGUGGACAUUUUCGCAGGAAUGUGUAUCGCAGACCUGGCCAGAGAAGGUGUGGUGUGUGGUGAGGGACUUUUGUUUGUGUAUGUAGCUGUGCGUAUAGGCGUGCUUGCGAGUGCGCGCACAGGGCGCGCAGCAGAGCUGAGGGCACCGCACAAAGACAUCAGAGGGGUGGACGAAACAAGCACUCGAUCGAAGAGCGCCCGCAUACAACUUAUGGUUGGGUGAGGGUGAGGUUCUGGUUGAGAGGUAGAAGGAGCGAUGCGAUGGACUCUCUGUGUGUGUGUGUAUGCGACAUGAGGUGCUGCGUGCGACUUCUUUUUUCUGCUUUUUUUUGGCGGAUUGUGCUUCCCCUCCUCUCAUCGCUUUCUUUUUUUCGCCUCUCCAAUGGCGUUGUAGCGGUCGCCCGCCUGCUGCGUCGCUCGUGUCUCUCGCGCUACGGUCUCUCGUCCCUCUCCCGCCUCCCGCGCGCUCUCUCUGGCUGCCUUGUUUUGUUUCCCAUCUCUCUUUCUUUUCGUCUUCACGCGCUUUCUUUUUCCUUUCUAUUUCUGGAUUCGUAAAUGUCUGUAUAUCUGGCGCGCACGCGUUCGCGAGUCGGUGAAAUACAUGGCAGUAGCGAUGCUGGCACGGCUGAUGGGCUACGCGAACGGUGACGACGACCAUGACGUUUCUGUCUUCUUUAGUUUUUCAUUGAAUUGCCGUGUUCAGCUUUGGGCGCGAAUGGCUCGUCUUUUGUCCGUGCGUCAGCCAGUGUAUAUAUGUAUAUCUGCGCGCCUUGUGCGCAUACGUGUGCGAGUGUGUGUGUGUGUGCGCUCGCAUUUUUUGCUGGUUUUUUCCCGAGUGCCCAGAAAGCCUCCCUCCCUCCCUCCUUCUGCCGACAGCACUCCACUGCCAGCUCAGGCGCCGGCGCUGUCAGUUGUCGUUUGUUUUCCUUUGGCAGGCACCUUUGGCGGUGCUGCGGGGGCCCCCACGUGCAGUUCCACUCUUUUCCGUUGCCUGGCUUUACGGUCUUUGUCUUUCAUAUGUGGAUGUGUGUUCCAUAUGCAGCAGCCCCUUUCCACGACCCUCGCGCCGCCACAAUCUUCCCUCCUUUUCUUUCACACACGUACGCACGUACACACGUGACAAAAAGACGAAGACCCUUAUCUCAUACCCGUAAAGGCGCAGCGCCGCUGCUGUGUGCAGGUGCACUCACGCAUGGGUGGGGGCAAGACACCCAAGUAACACAUUCAAGUUUAAGUAGACACACCGUAAUUACACCACCUCCCACUGCUCUUCUACUUUGCGCGUGACUCACUCCUGGAAGACUUGGUGCUGAUGGCAUCGAUAAUAGUACACACACACACAAUGGGUGCAACCUGCUCUGUUGGCGAUAUGAGACCCGCGAUUUUUCACUAUUUCGAGUCACGCCGUUCUGCCGUAUGCCUCUGCAAGGAGGAAGGUGGUGGUGGGAAGGGACUCGCCUUUCAACAUCAGCGGCGCAACUGCUGUUCCAUCGGUGUGUGUGUGUGUCAAAAGACAUGUGUGCUGUGUGUGGCUGUUUAUGUAGUUAUCUAUCACGAAUUUCCUCUGCUCGCACCUUUUCCCUAUUGCCUGUGCAGGUUUUCUCGCUGCUUUGUGGUGACGGUGGCUAAAGAAGCACCGCCACCACCACCAUCAGUCCGCCGUUGCGCAGGUAGUGCAGUCGGAGCUGCACCACAUAUCCAUGUCUGCGUGUGUCCGUGCGUGCCUAUGUGUGCGUGAAAGUGGAUGACGUUGCAGCUCAUCCUGCGUCUUUUUCACGCCCACUCAAGCAUCUACAACUUCUGCCUUCUCCACCUUCACGCGUUCCGCUCUCCUUGUUGUUUUCGCACUGCAG